rnacentral:rRNA from 1 species
CCCUUAGAUGUUCUGGGCUGCACGCGUGCUACAAUGGCGCUUGCAACAAGAUUGCCAACCCGAAAGGGUGAGCGGAUCUUUGAAGUGGCGUCGUGAUCGGGACAGUUGAUUGCAAUUAUUCGACUCGAACGAGGAAUUCCUUGUAAUCGCGAUUCAUCAUAUCGCGCUGAAUACGUCCCUGCCCUUUGUACACACCGCCCGUCGCUCCUACCGAUUGAGCGAUCCGGUGAAUGUUUUGGACUGGUGUCCACAAGCGUUUCGCUUCGGACGCUACGAAAUUUUGUAAACCUUAUCGCUUAGAGGAAGGAAAAGUCGUAACA